rnacentral:rRNA from 1 species
ACGGUAGGAGAAGAAUAAGAAGCAGCAAACUACGUGCCAGCAGCUGCGGUAAUACGUAGGCUUCAAGCGUUAUCCGGAAUUACUGGGUGUAAAGCGUCUGUAGGCGGCAGAGUAAGUUUGGCAUGAAAGACCGGGGCUUAACCCCGUGUUUGUGUCGAAAACUGCUCAGCUAGAAUCUGGGAGAGGGAAGCAGAAUGAUGUGAGUAGGGGUGCAAUCCGUUGAUACACAUCAGAAUACCAAAAGCGAAGGCAGCUUCCUGGAACAGUAUUGACGCUCAGAGACGAAAGCGUGGGGAGCGAAAAGGAUUAGAUACCCUUGUAGUCCACGCCCUAAACGAUGAUGACUAGGUGUCGGCGUAAGCCGGUGCUAUAAGCUAACGCGUUAAGUCAUCCACCUGAGGAGUACGGCCGCAAGGUUAAAACUCAAAUGAAUAGACGGGGACCCACACAAGCAGUGGAUCAUGUGGUUUAAUUCGACAAUAAACGAGGGACCUUACCCAGGCUUGACAUCCCGAGAAGUCCGAUGAAAGUUGGAUGUGCCCGCAAGG